UACGGGGGGGGCAAGCGUUGUUCGGAAUUACUGGGCGUAAAGGGCUCGUAGGUGGCCAACUAAGUCAGACGUGAAAUCCCUCGGCUUAACCGGGGAACUGCGUCUGAUACUGGAUGGCUUGAGUUUGGGAGAGGGAUGCGGAAUUCCAGGUGUAGCGGUGAAAUGCUUAGAUAUGACAUAGAACACCGAUAGCGAAGGCAGCUUACUACAGGAUGAUUGACGCUGAGGCACGAAAGCGUGGGGAGCAAACAGG
rnacentral:rRNA from 1 species